CUAAAUCGGGCCCUUCCUAGCGAGCUCUCCAUGUCUGGAAGAACCUCGCCGCCACGCCCCAUCCACCCUCCUUCUCUUCCGCCGCCCCCGAGUCCUGACUACCCUCAUUGUUGUCUGCCCACGAGCCUCCUCCACGGCGCCUUUUGCGCCUCCUCCGUGGUGCAGCCCCAGUUGGAGGCAUCAGAGGCGGAGACACACGUCGUGCCACCACAUCUGGAGCGGGAGUGCAGGGGGCACCGGAUGUGCCUCGCCCCUCGCGGAUGAGCUACUCGGGCUAACGCUCCACCCCCAGCCAUGUCGAUCUGGAUCGCGUCUUUGCGUUCGUCACCAGCGGCAGGUUGAGUGACCUCUUCAGCUACCUGGCCUCUAUCCCGGCGCAACUGAGGAUUUGAACUGCUUUCAACGUUGCUGGGCUGGCGGCCUGGCUCUCCUGACCUGACGGUAAGAAGCACAAAUAGGAGUCAGGGUGCAGGCAACAUGUGGUUCUUCCUAUGUCACACUUUUUCCAGUGUUCACCCCAAUGGUACGGAGCCUCACCUAAAGGUUAAGUGAGAUGGGGACAUUGGCAUCGGUAUCACCAGAGCUGCUUGAUUGGGCCAGGACCCAAGGAUUAUUAUUGUCUUCAUAUGUAGAACGAAAGAAUGAUUUUCCUUUUGAUAUGUAUUCUUUAGAAUUUAUCGCUCAUUUUAAAUACUAUCUGCAAUGGCCUAUGCACAUUGAUUAUUAGCACUACCGUUUUAAAACUACAUAAUACCCCGCGCGCUGCGGCGGCAAUUCAUGGUGUCAUACUUUAGCAAGGCUAUAUAUGAUAUGGGAAAUAUGUUAUGUUUAUAUUGACUAACAACAUAAUACGCACCGUGAAAUUUAAAUAUAUUACAAAUGGUAAAGACCACCAACCAUAUUCCUCACAUUUAGCAACAAAAGGAUCGUAGUACUUACUCUCAAUAAUAUAAAUUACCUACACUUAGUUCAGAGGUGGACCUAAAAUAUAUUGACGUGUUAGGUAAUGUUUGGAACUUUUUGUAAAAAAAAAUGAAGAUAUUUGUAAGAUGCAUUCGAUUAUGCUACCAUGCGUAGUAUAUAAGAUAUAAUUGCAAGUUCAUAGCAAGACGUUUAUGCUUUGUGCAAAAUUUGAAAGUGCGCCUGGUAGAUUGAACCUAACUAUCUACCUUCUGAAGUAACAUGGUUAAUCUUUCACUUGCUAUGACUUAAAUGAUCAGGUGGCUGCAGGAUAUUGCAGAGAAUUCUUGUAGUGGGGGCUGCUAUUUAGAGAUAAAAGAUUUCACUCUUCAGUCAUCGUCGUUUUCAUGUCCACUAGAGCUGGUGCAUCCGGCUAAUGACACUGACAACAAGGUCACCACCUCAGGUUCCCAAGUACGACUGCACUAUUUGCUUCAAGCUGCUAGGAUACAUCCUGGUAAGUGAGUGACUCAGUUCAUGUAUGAUAACACUCAGCUGUGGACAGGGCCGUCGUGCUCGCUGGUGGAAAGGUGAAGCAAGAGCCAAGAGGGGCACAAGUCUGAGAGAGGUGACACUGGAUCUGAUGAAGAUCUAGAGACAUCUUGUAAAUUUUGGUAGUGCUACUUCAUUUGCAAGCUCAACAUUAAAUGUAAUUGUAUAAUUGUAUUGAUACUUGCAAGCUCAGUUUUUUCUUUAUUGAAAAAAUCUAAACCUAACUAUGUAGUUGAUUGUUGAUAUUUGAC